rnacentral:rRNA from 1 species
GUGGGGAAUAUUGGACAAUGGGCGCAAGCCUGAUCCAGCAAUGCCGCGUGGGUGAAGAAGGCCUUCGGGUUGUAAAGCCCUUUUGUACGGGAAGAAAUCCUGUCGGUUAAUACCCGGCGGGGAUGACGGUACCGUAAGAAUAAGCACCGGCUAACUUCGUGCCAGCAGCCGCGGUAAUACGAAGGGUGCAAGCGUUAAUCGGAAUUACUGGGCGUAAAGCGUGCGUAGGCGGUUCGUUAAGUCUGUCGUGAAAGCCCUGGGCUCAACCUGGGAAUGGCGAUGGAUACUGGCGAGCUAGAGUGUGAUAGAGGAUGGCGGAAUUCCCGGUGUAGCGGUGAAAUGCGUAGAGAUCGGGAGGAACAUCUGUGGCGAAGGCGGCCAUCUGGAUCAACACUGACGCUGAGGCACGAAAGCGUGGGGAGCAAACAGGAUUAGAUACCCGUGUAGUCC